GUCAACCAGUUAAAAGUGGAUGGAACAGCUGCUGGAUGGAGGAAAAAGGCUUUGUUGGAGUGAAAUUUAUUAAUCCCUCUCUGACUUUGCAGGAGAGAAUGUUGGUGUAAGAUAUGGAAAAUGACAAACCCCAAAAUAGUGUCGCCUGGGAAGAGGGAAUGAGCAAGAAGACAACACAUUGAUAACUUCGAUCCUCUCCCAAUACAUUCUUUCCCAGUGACAAGACAAGCCCUGGGGACGAGAUAUCAGUGGGAUACCACAAGUAAACUUUGAGCAUGUCUAAACCAUUUUGAAGCAGAGGUGUGCCCCUAAGAGAACUCUCAGGGUAAUCUCAUCAAUCUGAGGCUGCUUCAUUGCCUUGGAAAAUGUCCUGCUGAAAGAGAAUGCUGUGAUACCAUGGAAUUUAUUGGCUUGGACAGCCCCAUGUUCAAAUGCAACUCCCCAGAGAUAGAGAGAGACACAGUGCACCAACUACCCCUGUGGCACCAGCUACCUGAAGGAGGAAGAAUGACAGCCCAAAUGGUCAUGGGUGACAACUGGCACCUAGAACAGGACCCUGGAGAGGAAUUCAGAAGAAAGAAUGUCAGCCUGAUGACUUGAUUUUAAUCAAGACCCAGAGAGAAAAUAAUCUUCAAUCAAGCUGAAAGUGGCCGACCAAGUGCUCCUGACCACAGGAUGGCUAUGCAAACUGUUAAGAGAGGGAAAACUCACUGCCAGGGGGCAUUUCCACUCUAAACGGGUAUGUCUAGGAAAGAUGGCAAGACCAACGGGUACAAUGACAAUGAGACCAAAAGGUAUACAAAGAAAAAAUGGAGGGUGAUUGGAAAUAGGAAGUCUGGCGGUCCAUUCUCUUAAGGCGUUUGGCCUUGACUGGAUCCAGUUAGCCCUUUUAAUUGUUGCCCUUCCACUUUACCCGCCCCAGGGAUCUGCUGAAUCUGGACCAUCACACGGGGCAACAGAGUGGCUCUGGGGUAUCUCAGUGGUCUAGCGUUGCUGGCAUGGUGGAGGCCCUGAGCUCUAACCCAGUACAGCCCCAAACACAAACCAAAUAAAGCCCCAAAAGACAGGAAGGGGAGAACAUGGUCCAGGGCCUCAGUUUCCUUCUCUACAAAGUCUGGAGCUUGGAGUAGGUCAUCACAAGGUCCCACAGGCUCCCCAAUCUGAGCUUCCCUUGGUGUGACACUGUGCUCUGGCCCUUGGUGGAAGCUUUCUGCCCCCUGGAGGGCCAACAGAGGGCAGAGAAGACAGGAAGACAGAUGUGGGCCACAGCAGAACGGUGCCCUAAGGGACCACUCAUCCUUGGAGGAGGAGAAAGACCACCUUAUUGGAGUCUCGGGGACCCAUGUGGAACUGGAACCCAAGUCCUUGUCCUGGCAGUGAUGAAAAGGCUUUGUGAGGACAAUGACUCCCAGGUUUCCAGAUCCUCUCAUCUAUCCAAUCACUAUUCGCCAAGUGCUGACCUUGUUCCAUGUGCUGAGUUAGGCCUGCGAACUGCAAAGAAAAAGAACAAUGUGGUCUCUGCCUUCCAGGAGCU